UCAGGUGGCUAUUGCGGCGGGGUCCCACCUCUUCCCAUUCCGAACAGAGAAGUUAAGCCCGCCGGCGCCGAUGGUACUGCGUAUAGUGGGAGAGUAGGUCGCCGCCGUCU
rnacentral:rRNA from 1 species